ensembl:lncRNA
CUCCACUGCAGAUGACAUUAUGCCAUCUGGUGUUUCUUCCUUCCUCAUUGACUGCAUGGAUUCCAGUUCACAGACUGAUUCUUGCGAGGCCCCAAGCAGUAACUACCCCUCACCGGAAGUGUUUCGAACUGCAGAUGCAUAUGAGGAAGCAAUGGAUUUUUCUUUCGAAGAAGAUUUGCAAGUGAAAAACUCAACUCUCCUUGAUGUUAGUCAUGCAGUUGACAUCAAUAUGAGACAGCCACCCAAUCUCUCUGCAAUCCUGGGUAAUUUCAACAUUACCAUCUUUCAUAACUCAUGUACAAUGACAAAAGAAACCAUGUUUUUAUUAUGUAUAUCAUGAAGUUAUAUUUGUCUGUCUAAUACAUAACAUCUUCAGACUUUUUACUUCUGUAGAUCAGCCAUAGUUGAUUUUAAAUAAUUGUCAAUAUUGGGGAAUACUUGAAGAGAUGCUGGUGCACAUAAAGCAUGUGUAAUUUAGAUUAAUGGGAAUCUGUGCUUACUUUGUAUUUAAAUUGUGAAUAAAUGCUGUAUAAUCUCCCUGCAGGGACUUCAAGAAAGCCUGUGGAGAAGGACCCUGAAAAAAUCAUGGGAAAUGUAAGCAAUUCCUUCACUGUGUGUAAAACCCCAAAAUCAGGUAUUUGCCAUGUUUUCUGAUCACUAUGCAGUGUUUGUAUGUAAGGAACACUUUUGUUGCAUUUACAAAACAAGUAAAAUGUGAUAUUAUAGAAAAAACAACUUUAAGAAGUUUUUCAGAAAGAAAGUGUCAGACUGGAAAAGAUUUCAUCCCAUUAAGUCAGCUUCCAAAGAAAUUUAGACCUGUGAAAUGCCAAAAAAAAUUGUUACAGCCAGUAGUUACGGCAGCACAAGGGGAGGGAGUGAAGGCAUCUUGUGAAACAGAGCUGACUACACAGCCUGUGUGUGAACCUCUGAGCACUCUUGAAGAGUUGAACUCUGAGGUUCAGUCCAAGGAAGACCUGAAGAACAAACUUUGUAAAGUACAGCUGGAGAAGAAUGAAAGUGAAAACAUACCUGCAGGGGACCCCAAGUCCCUAAAGAGACAUGAACCCCAAAACAAGGCUAGGCUCUUCAUUUUUGCAGAUGAAGUAGAGAAGAAGUCUGUCCUUCAGAGAAAGGAAGGAAAACACCCCUCUUUGUUCCCAUCUCAACCACUCAGUUUGAAGAAUAUGCCAUCAGAGGAAAUUACCCCAGUGUUUCUAAAGUUCAAGGGCUCAGAAAUGCAUGAUCCCGAGAAGCUAUAUGAGGUGUGCUGGAUGCAGCUACUCCACGUCGGAAAGGCAUUCUUCAGCAGCUCGCGGUUUAAAAGGAUUGUCACAGAUGAGGGUGAGACCAAUGUCACAUGCUACAACAGUGAAUAGCUGAAGUGUGUGUCUCGUGAAUGUUUGUCGCAUAAGUCAUCUUGCAGAAUAGCAAAAACUUUUUGUCUCCGGUACACAAUGCUUACUACUUUCUGGGUCAGGGCUGCAUUAAGAUGAGCAAAGAUAGAAAAUAAGCAAUGGUAAUUUAGGGGUACUCAUUUAAUACUUGUAAAAUC